rnacentral:lncRNA from 1 species
AACAAUAAAAAACUAAUGAUCUACUAGAAAAUAUCCAGAAAGAAUUAAAAUCUUUAACUGAAAGAAUUGAUAAACAAGAAAAAUGGCAUGAUACUCAACCAAUAGCACUUGCCCCUCUCCAAGAACCUAAUUAUUAAUCCCUUACCUGCCACUUCUGUGGAAAGAAGGGCCACAUAAUGAUGAAUUGUAGAAAGUUCUUCCAAAUAAUCAGAAACAAUAAUUAAAGGAAUAAUAGAUAUAGAAAUUAUAAUUACAAUAAUGAAUUUAGAAAUUAUUUUAGGACUGAUAGCUUUUCUAGAAAUUUACAUCAAAUAACUGAUAACUCAAGCCAAAUGAUCCCUCAACAGUGUAUUUUAAAUAGAGCUCAUCUCCAAACUAAUCAGGGUGCUAAUGGCCCUCAGGGAGGAACCCAAGAAAAUACCCCAAGAUUAUGAAGGUGUAUGGGGGGUUGGGGCACAGGAAUCAAAUGUUUUACUCUUUGAUUUUCCAGACACUGAUGUCUUACUACCCAUCAUCCCUAUUCACUCCUCCCCACCUCAUAGUGAUGAACCUCACAUGACUUUAAAGAAUCCAGAGACUGAUUUCCCUGUGGAAGAUGUCAUGGAGAUGCCCUUGGAGACUGCACACUGCUCCAGGAGUUACUGAGCAAAACUGAAUGUGCUAAACUGAACUUUGGGGGGGUUCAAUACAUUUGUUUAUAUGUACUUUGUUGUACCAAAGGGGACUGCCCCCUAAUUAGUUUUGUUCUUGAUUCCCUUUUGUUUCCUUAGCCCCAAGCUGAUGUAUUUUCCCUGUGUAAAUUUGUAUGUACCUCAAUUAUGUUUAAAAUGAUCCAUUGGGGAAACUGGUCUCCCAAAGGAUCACAGGGAAAAAUGUGAAGAUGGAAAAUUUUCAACACCUGAGCUAUAUUCCCAACAUCCUUUUAAGUUACAUCCUCAUUUUAUGUAAGAAUGCUUAGGAGAUAAAUUUGGCUGAGACUUAUGCUGCGGGGCUCUUUUUUUGGAGCUUGUGCUUUUGAGAAAGUGCUGCAGGUGUGAGUCUCUGUCUCUCUUUGCUCUGCUCACUUGACUGAAAGAACCUUUUUUAUUUUCCCUCUCUUUUGAUUAUUAUUAAAAAUCCUACAAUGCUAAUAAACAUCUGCUUUUGAGUUCCCUUUGGAUCUAU